UCAGGAUAAACGCUAGCGGCAGGCUUAACACAUGCAAGUCGAGGGGUAUUAGUUUUCGGACUAAGAGACCGGCGCACGGGUGCGUAACGCGUAUGCAAUCUACCUUUCACAAAGGGAUAGCCCAGAGAAAUUUGGAUUAAUACCUUAUAGUAUAGCGACUUCGCAUGGGGAUGCUAUUAAAGAUUUAUCGGUGAAAGAUGAGCAUGCGUCCCAUUAGCUAGUUGGUAAGGUAACGGCUUACCAAGGCUACGAUGGGUAGGGGUCCUGAGAGGGAGAUCCCCCACACUGGUACUGGGACACGGACCAGACUCCUACGGGAGGCAGCAGUGAGGAAUAUUGGUCAAUGGGCGCAAGCCUGAACCAGCCAUGCCGCGUGCAGGAUGACGGUCCUAUGGAUUGUAAACUGCUUUUGUACAGGAAGAAACACUCCCUCGUGAGGGAGCUUGACGGUACUGUAAGAAUAAGGAUCGGCUAACUCCGUGCCAGCAGCCGCGGUAAUACGGAGGAUCCAAGCGUUAUCCGGAAUCAUUGGGUUUAAAGGGUCCGUANGCGGCUUAAUAAGUCAGUGGUGAAAGCCCUACGCUUAACGUANGAACGGCCAUUGAUACUGUUAGGCUUGAAUUAUUAGGAAGUAACUAGAAUAUGUAGUGUAGCGGUGAAAUGCUUAGAGAUUACAUGGAAUACCAAUUGCNNANGCNGGNUACUACUAAUGGAUUGACGCUGAUGGACNAAAGCGUGGGUAGCGAACAGGAUUAGAUACCCUGGUAGUCCAUGCCGUAAACGAUGGAUACUAGCUGUUGGAAGCAAUUUCAGUGGCUAAGCNAAAGUGANANUAUCCCACCUGGGGAGUACGUUCNCAAGAAUGAAACU
rnacentral:rRNA from 1 species